rnacentral:rRNA from 1 species
GGGCUCACACAAGCGGUGGAGGAUGUGGCUUAAUUCGAGGCUACGCGAAGAACCUUAUCCUAGAUUUGACAUGCUUGAGAAUCCCUAUGAAAAUAGAGAGUGCCCUUCGGGGAGCUCUUGCACAGGUGCUGCAUGGCUGUCGUCAGCUCGUGUCGUGAGAUGUCGGGUUAAGUCCCUUAACGAGCGAAACCCUUAUCUCUAGUUGCCAGCGGGUAAUGCCGGGGACUCUAGAGAGACUGCCGGUGUCAAACCGGAGGAAGGUGGGGAUGACGUCAAGUCCUCAUGGCCUUUAUGUCUAGGGCUGCACACGUCCUACAAUGGUACGGACAAACGGACGCAAUACCGCGAGGUGGAGCAAAUCCUAGAAACCGUGCCUCAGUUCGGAUUGCAGGCUGCAACUCGCCUGCAUGAAGCCGGAAUCGCUAGUAA